CAGAGGUCGAUCAACUUCACAUGCUUCACUCAACAUUGUCUUGAAGGUCCCUGCCCUCCUGGUUGGACUCAGUUUGGCUCUCGCUGUUUCAGUUUCAACAUCCAGGGAAAGAGUUGGAUCGAUGCAGAGAACUUCUGCAACUCUGAUGGUGGGAAUCUGGCUUCAGUCCACUCAGAAGAGGAACAUGUAUUCCUCAGAACCUUCAUUAACCAAGUGACCGGU